ensembl:snoRNA
CAGCUGUCUCUCCCCAAUAAGGUUACUGAUCAUUAAAAAUUAUCCAUCAAAAAAAAAUAUUAAGAAAGAAAAGAAGUGGCGCCGGGGGUCAGGCUGCAGCGCCAGAGCACGCGCUCGCGCAUAACUGGGGCCGUCUGCCCCCCGCAGCGGCGGCCCUUUUAACCGCUAGCCACACGG